GGGGUUGACUGGAUUUGACGGCGAGACGAAAUGGUACGUAAGCACGCGGAGCGACGGCUGUAGGCUCCAUAAUCCAUUCGGUCGAAAAAUUAAUUGGCGAAAAUAAGUACGCUCUCGCUGCUUAAUCGAAGCAUAGUAGAUUGUUAGCUUAAUUCUCCUGCAAGGCGGGAGAACGAGACAUCGCUCAAGGGAUGUUGUUCCGAAUCUUCUUGGCAAAGCGGUGCAGGCAAAUCGGAAAUAGCUGUCAUAGGCCUCGAUGUGACAGUGAAAUUUAGGGGAUAAGGCAUCAGUUGGUGGUCCAGGUCUUGCUGCUGCUCGAAAAUCAAAGGCUGGAAUAAGCGUGUAGAAAGCGUAUGGUUUCCUUGUGCGGACGAGGGUUCGACUCCCUCCAGCUCCACAU
rnacentral:tmRNA from 1 species